rnacentral:rRNA from 1 species
CGUACAGGUUUCGUAGGCUGAACGUGCGGAAGGAUCAUUAAUGAAAUGAAUGUCGAGAAGGGUUGUAGCUGGCCUUUUGGGGCAUGUGCACACCUUGAUCGCACAUCCACCUCUCACACCUGUGACACUAUGUGUAGCUGGGAUGAUUACAGUGUUAGGAAACGACGUUAAAAGCCCUAGCCUAUUGAAUUUUUUAUUACCACCCCAACAAUAACAAAGUUAUAGAAUGGAAUCAUGUUAUAGCGUGUAAUAGCGCGAAUAUCUACAACUUUCAGCAACGGAUCAUCUUGGCUCUCGCAUCGAUCAAGAACGCAGCAGAAAUGCGAUAAGUAAUGUGAAUCGCAGCAAUUCAGUGAAUCAUCGAAUCUUUGACACGCACCUUGCGCUCCUUGGGUCAUUCCGAGAAAGCAUAGCCUGUUUCGAGUGUCGAUGAAAUUCUCAACUGCCUUUUAGCAUUUAUGUUCAGAUGGGUGAAGUUGGAGUUGGAGGAUAAUUGCUGGCGCAACUAGGUUGCUUGUUGGCUCCUCUUGAAUGAAUAGUUUUACUGAUGGAUCAUAGCUCAGAUAACACUNUGUGAUGCUUAUCUUACGUUCGAUUUUGAAGAGGCUCCUACAGAAAGGUGUAUCUGGUGGGGAUAACAAACCCUUAUUUACAAAGUCUACCUCAAUCAGUAGGGACUACCCGUUAAACUUAAAGGCAUAUCAUAGCAGAGGAAAGUACACCUACACAAGGGAUUCCCUUGUCACCUGGGGUGAGCGGACCAGCUCGAUUUAUCGGCAGCUUUGCUGGCCGAUUCUUCGACAUGUUCG